UACGUAGGUGGCAAGCGUUAUCCGGAAUUAUUGGGCGUAAAGCGCGCGCAGGCGGUUUCUUAAGUCUGAUGUGAAAGCCCACGGCUCAACCGUGGAGGGUCAUUGGAAACUGGGGAACUUGAGUGCAGAAGAGAAAAGCGGAAUUCCACGUGUAGCGGUGAAAUGCGCAGAUAUCAGGAGGAACACCAAUGGCGAAGGCAGCUCGCUGGGACGGUACUGACGCUGAGACGCGAAAGCGUGGGGAGCAAACAGG
rnacentral:rRNA from 1 species